GCCUUCUUGGCUCAGUUGGUUAGAGCGCAGGUCUCAUAGUCUUACUAUGCGUGAGCAUUGCUCAUUAAUCCUGAGGUCGUCAGUUCGAACCUGACAGAGGGCA